GAUGAACGCUGGCGGCGUGCCUAAUACAUGCAAGUCGAACGCAUUGUGGUUGAAAUGAUAUGAAGAACUUGUUCAGAUUUGAUUUUCAACAUUGCAAUGAGUGGCGAACGGGUGAGUAACACGUGGGAAACCUACCUCUUAGCAGGGGAUAACAUUUGGAAACAAAUGCUAAUACCGUAUAAUAAUUAAAACCGCAUGGUUUUAGUUUAAAAGAUGGUCUUGCUAUCACUAAGAGAUGGUCCCGCGGUGUAUUAGUUAGUUGGUGAGGUAAUGGCUCACCAAGACAAUGAUACAUAGCCGAGUUGAGAGACUGACCGGCCACAAUGGGACUGAGACACGGCCCAUACUCCUACGGGAGGCAGCAGUAGGGAAUCUUCCACAAUGGACGAAAGUCUGAUGGAGCAACGCCGCGUGUGUGAUGAAGGUUUCGGCUCGUAAAACACUAGUUGUAAGAG
rnacentral:rRNA from 1 species